GAAGAUGAAGUUGGUGAUGAUGAAGAUGAGAUGAUGAUGGUGCUUCCAUGGUUUCUUCCUCUUCUUCUCCCAUGAGUUCUCUUCUUCUCCUCUUCUUCCUCUUUCUCUUCCUUCUUUUCCUCUUUUUUCUCCUCUUCCCUUUCUUUCUUUUCUUUCUGAUAAUUCUCAUUCUCUCUUCUUUUAUUCUUAUCCUUUCUUCUUUUCUUUUCCACCACACAUACUACAUUAC
rnacentral:lncRNA from 1 species